rnacentral:lncRNA from 1 species
UUCAAGCCCCACCAAAAAAAAAGAGAAAAGGGAUGAGGAGUUCACUCCUCAUCUAAAGAAAAGGCCCCCACUUCCUCAUCGUUGUUGCCAGGAAGAAGGUAGUUAAGGUACAGUUACGGCAUCAUCCACCACAAGCGGGCCUUACAGCCUUCGAACCCAAAGAUAAAAGUGGAGGUGGCAAUACCGGUGACCUCUUCCUCAAAUGCCGUCAAGGUCUUAAACUCUUUGAUACAGCAUUUGUGAACCGCAUAAAAGAUCCACAUGAGAGAGGAAGAGGCACUCUCAACCCCAACAAGUGGCGGUGGCUUCUUCUUGGGCCCCAUAGAGGGAGUAGAAAUUUAGCUCGAUUGGGGAGCAGACGACAUGCCAAAAGAGAUAGACUGGCCCGACGCCCCUUUCUUUGCCUUCUUGAACGAGAGGGCCUUCUUGGCUGUGGCCCUCCUCUCCUUAACUGCCUCCUUAAUGGCUUUCUUAGAGGGCAUCAUGAUGAUGAAGGGGACG